ACUUGCAGCCUGCCCCUCCACCCCACCCGCUGGUGAAUCUGAACCGCCAGCUGGUGAAUAAAGGUGGUUCCGUCUUGUGCUUUAAGAUCGACUCGAUGGUUUAUUGCAAUCCCACCAUAACAUUUUGGAGGCCCCAGUGAGAUGAUCACCAGAGUCAAGGCUGUGGCUCUCGGGUGCAUGGGAGUCCUGGAUCCUCUGAAGGGGAGAGAGGCGUCUUCCCUCUCUAGUUGUGGGAGUUCUCUGCUUUGCCAGGGUCUGGACCUGCUGGGAUGACCGAUUGGAGCCUGCCCAUGACAGAGCACCGGGUGCAGCUCACACCUGUAAUUCCAGAGGCUCUGGAGGAGGACGGAACUGCACGUGUCUGGAGCUUCCAAGUGUCCUCUGUACAACGAGGAAGGUGCCUGAUGCUGCACGGAGUGAGCUGAGGUGUGGGCCUGACGCACAGGUGCUCAGCCAUGACUGCACCAUCCAGGCCCAGGGACACAGGAGCCCGGGUGCCUAACAACAGAGCGACGAUAAACCAGGCGAAAGAGUGACAAAUGAAGACCCACCUCCUGGAGGAGGCCUGCUGAGAUUUUUUUAAGGAAAUGAACUCUUGGUGACGUUUCAUCAGAACAACGGUAGGAGCUGGUUGUCGUGGCUCUGGUGCAGGCGGGGGUCAGGUUGGGAUGGAGGCUCAGAAGGAGAACCUGUGGAGAAGGAGUCGGUAGGACCUCGAGGAUGCUCUCCGUGGAGCUCAGUGUCUUCUCUGGGUGGGCAUUUUUAAUCCCUCCCAGCUUCCUGUUGCAGAGGCCUAUUUGUAGGUGAGUGUAGCUGAGAGGUUUGGGGCUCCCUGCUCCCACCUAGCACCUCCUGGUAGACAGAGGCUGUGCCUCAGGGGCAACCUGCUGAGAAUACUGGGGUCACGAUUGCCAUCACCCUGGCGCGUUCCUAGAGCAGAGGUUCUCUCCCAGGACAGAGGCCGCCGGCACCUCCCACCCAGCACCGGCUUCUGAAGCAGGAGGAUCACGUCACCUCCAGCUCUGGAGCCACUACUCAGAGCUUGUUCUGGAGUGGGAGGUCUUUUGAUUACAGCAACCCAAAGCUGACGGAAACACUGCAUGUGGGAAAGUUCAAGCCAAGGACACUCUCAAAAAAGUUGGAGGUUUUGGUGGAGAACAAUUCAGGGAGGCUGAGACUUCAUGGGAGAUACAGGUGACCCCACUGAUCAGAGCGACUCCAGGAAAGAGGCAGCCCGACAGACCUAUGUGGGUCAGCACAACACAGGACUAUCUCCUCUGCUUCCUCUGUGACUCCCCCGUGCUGGCUGUGCGGACAUUUUGCCACCGUCCCUCUCCUCUUGCACACGCCUUGGCAAAGAGGGCACAAAAAAAUAAAAUUAUAAACCAAAUUUUCUUAUGAUUAAAAUUUGAUGCAAUACCAAGGGCUCAGCUCAGUCAAUACAUAAAAAGAAUAACGCUCAUAACAAAGUAGGAUUGAUUUCAAGAAUAUGAGGAUAGUGUAAAAUUAGGAAAUUGGUUAAUAUUGAUAAAUCAUUUCACUGAUCAAUGAAAAAAUAUAUAACCACCCAAUUUAAAAAAAAAUUCUUAGU